GGCAAAACACUAAAACCAAAAACAUUUCAAUAAUAAUUAACACUUCCGUUGAAUAAAUGUAUUAAAUGAAUGUCAACCCCAAAAGGGUACUCCAAUUUCUUUUGACACUCUCACCUCUGACUAUGCUUGAUCAGUUUCAGUACAUGCAUAUGAACCAUUGUAUAAUCGCUUUGACCAACCAUUACACUCGCAAUGCCAUCCAUUAAAAGUUUGAAACUCUCUGUACUACAUCAACCUUCCCACUUCAUUUUUUCCCCGCCUUUUGAUCUCUACGGAUUUCUUGUCCCUUUCAUCUUUCGUACAUAAAUACAAAUCAGACAUCAAUAAUUCUCUCACUCUGUCACAGUGGAGGAAGAUAUUGUUACUGUGUUACUGUGGAACCCCUAGCAGGCAUCUCUGCUGUGUUGUAAGUUAUUUAUAAAGUAACAGUAGAUAUAGGAAAUUUAACAACACAUUUCUAUCUACAUGGUAUUAUACACCACAGUCUUCAUGCAACUGACCACAGCAUUUCCCCUAUUUGCUGGUGAUAAGCCAAGAAACAGGUUAUAUUCGUAAUAUAUGGUAAUGCUGCCCACUUCUAGCUUUUUAUUGGAAGGUAGUGAUUCAUGAAAUUCACCAUAUAACUAGGUUCUAGAUACAUUUAUUUCACAUUAAUAUCCUUCUACAAAAAUUGAAAAAAUGUUAUUUGCCCUUACUUAUGUCUGUUAAGUCAUUGAUUCCUAUUAUGCAGAAACAACCCUUCCCACCAACAAUGUCAAGUCAGGUAUCCAGUGUCAAUGAGAUUCGAGAGCUAGAGGAAUUGAAAGUCAUGUUGCAGCAAAAAUUAUACUUACAAAAUUUAUGGUGGAGUAAAUGAAUACAUAUUAUUGUCCACCCAAAGGCAUUUCUGCUUCCCUUCCAAGUGGUCUUAUUCUGCCACUCCCUGACCGUUCACGUUCAUUGCCAAUGACCAGAUCCAUUGUCAGUUCUCCUGAUGAGUCAUAACUGAUUUAGAUCUAAACUUUGGUUAACAUUGAGACAGAGUUUGAAAGACCAGAUAUAUGUAACCAUGUUUUUUACACUGCAAUCAUAGCAUUGUUUAGUAUCUUUGUUGAAUCUUAAUAAAUAUAAAAUAAAGAAAAGUAAAAAUGGAAAAAAUUACAACCAUCUCAAAUAUUACAUUAGAGGCUUUGCCGAAUAGGUUAUAGCUAG